UCACAGUGGUCAGAUCUCCUAUUCUAUAUCUUCGUGUAUCAACUAGAUACUUAUAUUUACUUAAUAUAUUAUUAUGUUUUUUUUUUUCAUAAUCAAUGAUAUUGUUCACUUAUAACAUUUCGUAAAAUAUUAGAGUGACAUAUUGUUUUAAUAUUACAUUGUAUUCUAUAUUAUAUAUUUAUACAAUAGACAUACAAAUAACAAGUUAUAAAUAUUCAGCGUUUACAUCAAACUUAUAUUUCAAUUAAACUUAUACUUCAACUGAAUGCAGCAGAAUCAACCUAGUACCUACCACAAAAAAAACUAGAAAAGACAUUAUUACAAAAACUCUGUUACUCUCUACCUAUACAAGUAAUGAAAUGUAGAUACGCGAUAACAACAGGUUACGGUAUUGCAUGCCACUCCAGACCGGGUUUAACACAUGAUCCUGUUAUUAUUACCACUGCGAUAAAAUUACAACUGUAAAACUGUAUCGUCCAAAUUCAAGAAAAUGUACAAAUGAGAAAAGCAUAUUAUUAAAAUGAGAAAAUAAGCAAAAAUAAGAUGAACUCGCGAACUCAUGCAUUUAUAUGCCCUAACUGGGUUUUUCAACAAGUUAUGAUAGGUACCAAUAAUAAAAUACGGCAUCUCUAUAUUUUAGUCAACUGCAAACGCAACUGGAACAGAAAUCGGAUAGUUGUUUCAAUAACCCUGGAAUGCAAUCAAUAAGAUAAUAUUAUAAAUUAUUAUAUUAUAUGUAUUUAGUUUAACACGUUAAUUUAUGGCAAUUCAUAUUAUACCUUUGGGAUCCGAUUAAUAGAAUACGCACGUCCUUUAAAACAUUUUUAACGAUAGGUAACUCGAGGUCGACCAAUUUACCUUCAUUCCAUAAUUUCUAUAACACUCUGAUAUUACAUUAAUGUAUUCAAUAUUAUAUAAUAAUUGUGCGUUGUAAACUAAAUAGUAUUAUUAUACUGAGGUAGCCAUAACCAAAACUGGUCUAUAUAUGUAUAAGAUAUGUAGCGCAUAGUGUAUAGAUUGUCUGGACUUUGGCGCCGUUCAAUCAUACAAUAAUUAUUAUGAUUUCAUUCGGGCAAUGUAAAUUUAUUAAUUUGUUAAAUUAAUUAAAAACUUCUUUUGUUAUUCUCAUUAAAAAUUCUGUUGCAAUUAGUAUAGAAUUAUAUAGGUACAGGGCGUAAAAUAGAAUGGCGGACAAAUGUAAUUAAAUAUAACUAUGCAAUAACUGUAAUUCUUAUCAAUAUUACAUUUUUUGUUGUUGUUAUAUUACUAUAAUAUUGACAAUAACCAUAAAAUUAAACAAAAUUAAAAAAAAUGAAUAUAAAAGUUAUUACAUGGACAGUUAGAGUUAAGUAUUAGGUAGUACAGAUAUUAGAUAUACCUAGUUAAUUUAAUCUGUCAGUCCUUUCUGUUACAUUGUGUAAGGUUCAUUUCAAUGCCCCCCCCCCCCACUUUCGAAAUUUGAACUUCUGACCACGCCAAACGUUUGUGCAUCGUUUGUGCAGAAAUGUGCACCAGGUCCCGACGUUUGUGCACAAAAACUCCCAGCGCUAUCCAAAAAACAAAGUGAGGGGUAUUAACACGAGGGUCCCCCUUUUUUGAAAUUUUAAAUAUUUGACAUAUUAAUAAAUGUUGUUUACGUACCUAAUAAGUUUAAUGGAAUUUUAUUAUUGCCAUGUAAACGUAUGACAAAUAAAAUCUUCAAAUAUUUUUAAUUUAUCAAGAAAGCAUUAUCUUGUUCUAAUGUUUUUGAUUUCAAAAUUGUAUGAAUAAAUACAGUUUUUUCUUUAUGCAUUUCUUUACUUUAUAUUUUAUAUUAUAUUUUGCUGAUGAAAAUGUGUUUAUGGACAGGUACCUCAACUCGACGUUGCUGUAUGUCCGGUCCAAUAAUGUAAGUUGUAAGUCAUUGUGUAUAUUUUAAUACAAUAAAAGCAUAGUAAAAAAAUAAUUAAUAGACUAUAUUAAUAUAGUACCUACUUAAUUAAUAUAAUAUACCUAACCGUACCUAUAUACAUAUAAAAAUAUUAUAAUAAUAUAUUAUUUAUGUUUGAAUUCAUUACAACAAUGGCGUAUCAGACGUCGCUCCCAAACCGGUCGACAUCCAUCUGCAUAAUAGUGCGUUACAGUAUAAUAUUUAUCUAAUAAAUUAAUUUUCUUUAUCAUUCCGCAAGAAUGAGCCGUAUAGUUUGAAAACUUACCAAAGUUAUCUGGUGGAUGUCGAUACGUUGGUGAGCAGCCGUCGCACAUAGGUCUGAUAUACCUAUGGAAAGUUAUUAUUGGAUCGGUCAUAAUAUUACGUUGAGAAGUUAUCUGUCCAUAAACUUAUUUUCAGAUUUGUAGGCCAAUUCUGUUGCCAUUUUUUAAUCAUUCUUUGUUUUUAUUAAGGUUGAGGUGUAACAACAUUUUAGGGGCUAUUGUAAUUCCCACUUCCAGGACUUUAUCAUACAUACAGCCGACAGCCCGAUGACCUACAUUUUUGUGUAUUCUGGUCUACCAUAUGAUGGCCGUGAAGUAACGAUAACGUCACCGUUUAUCAGAUUGCCCAGUUUGAAAGAGUCUCCAACAAUUUCAUCGGAUAGGUACGCCAUAAACCGUGGCAUAGCGUUGGGCCAGCAUCAUUUUAUCCGGAUCAAUAUCUACAAAAAUGACGUCCCAAUUAUUAGAAGCUAAUAAUAUUGUGUCUUUGUCGAACAGUCAGCUGUACGAAGUUUCCGCUGUGCUACAAGACGGGUCAACGCCGGUCGCUGAACAUGGGAAGUCCUCAAGUCCACCCAGCAUCGUAUUGAUGAAUCAACAAUACAUCUUACAUCUUACAUCUUACAUCUAACAUCUUACAUCUUACAUCUAUCAUUGCAAUCUUAUAAUUAUUCACCUGAAUGUAUGUAAUCCUGAAUGUACAGUUAAUUUAUUAAUACCCAUCUACAAAGUCAACACUGUAUUAAUAAAAGUAUUUAUUG